GACGAACGCUGGCGGCGUGCUUAACACAUGCAAGUCGAACGGAAAGGCCCUGCUUUUGUGGGGUGCUCGAGUGGCGAACGGGUGAGUAACACGUGAGUAACCUGCCCUUGACUUUGGGAUAACUUCAGGAAACUGGGGCUAAUACCGGAUAGGAGCUCCUGCUGCAUGGUGGGGGUUGGAAAGUUUCGGCGGUUGGGGAUGGACUCGCGGCUUAUCAGCUUGUUGGUGGGGUAGUGGCUUACCAAGGCUUUGACGGGUAGCCGGCCUGAGAGGGUGACCGGCCACAGUGGGACUGAGAUACGGCCCAGACUCCUACGGGAGGCAGCAGUGGGGAAUAUUGCACAAUGGGCGGAAGCCUGAUGCAGCAACGCCGCGUGCGGGAUGACGGCCUUCGGGUUGUAAACCGCUUUCGCCUGUGACGAAGCGUGAGUGACGGUAAUGUGUAAAGAAGCACCGGCUAACUACGUG
rnacentral:rRNA from 1 species